CCUACGGGAGGCAGCAGUGAGGAAUAUUGGUCAAUGGACGCAAGUCUGAACCAGCCAUGCCGCGUGCAGGAUGACGGCUCUAUGAGUUGUAAACUGCUUUUGUACGAGGGUAAACCCCGAUACGUGUAUCGGGUUGAAAGUAUCGUACGAAUAAGGAUCGGCUAACUCCGUGCCAGCAGCCGCGGUAAUACGGAGGAUCCGAGCGUUAUCCGGAUUUAUUGGGUUUAAAGGGUGCGUAGGCGGUUUGAUAAGUAAGAGGUGAAAUGCCGGGGCUCAACCCCGAAACUGCCUCUAAUACUGUUAGACUAGAGAAUAGUUGCGGUAGGCGGAAUGUAUGGUGUAGCGGUGAAAUGCUUAGAGAUCAUACAGAACACCGAUUGCGAAGGCAGCUUACCAAACUAUAUCUGACGUUGAGGCACGAAAGCGUGGGUAGCAAACAGGAUUAGAUACCCGGGUAGUC
rnacentral:rRNA from 1 species